rnacentral:lncRNA from 1 species
CUUAACUUAAUUUUUGUCUAAAACAUUUUUGCGUUAAAUUUAUUGAUAAGUCCAAGGUGUGGAUGAAAUUGGAACAGCUUCAUUGGUUUAAUGUUCGAAUCAGUGUGGUUUAGUGACAUGUUCGAACCAUAUCAAUAUCAGGCAAUUAUCGACGUUAGAUCAUAUAAAAAUAGAAGAAAAACAAAAAAUUCUAAUUAGGGCACGAGCAAACUAAAAAAUAUAUACUUUAUCCAUCAGGGGUAUAACUCACUGUCGCUUGGGCUAAUAUCAAUAUGGAUUGCUUAAGGACGCUAGUAUUGCUUAAGAUUACGUCAGCUGUUGUGUGACGCCAUUGUAUUCUCUAGCUAUAUUAAUAAUAUUUCAUAUUUAUAAAUUACAAUACUGCGGUAUUUGUAUGUUGUAAGCUAAACUCUAGCUUCCGUGGGAGAAAAAACAUAUUGACAUUUGAAACGAGAUGCAGUCCAAUUUCUUUUUCCUUAGUCAUAAGUAGGUAAAAAUCUAGCCGAGGAAUAUUUACCCUUGAUCAAAAUUGGGCAAGUUUAAGAAUCGUAACAUAAUUCAUAUCGAUGACAAUGGCAUGCUAAUGACUCCUGAUUGGAUGUGUUAGGGGAGGAGGUAUUGACUGAGAACAUCAACGAGGGUAAUUUAACUCCAACACAAAACGAAGAUGAUCAAUCAGAUCCGUUGACCAAAAAGAAUAAAUACGUUCAAACUACUUGUAACAAAGAACAACUUUUUCGACCUAUGUUCUCGAUCCAAAACGUUGUCAAUAAUCUAUCAGUGAUCGCCUACUACACAGGACUGAGUAACUUCAGUCACUUGAAAUGUUUGUAUUUUUCUCUUGGUUGAUCAUCUAAACUAUGAGAGAGAG